rnacentral:rRNA from 1 species
AAUGAACGCUGGCGGUAGGCCUAACACAUGCAAGUCGAACGGCAGCACAGUAAGAGCUUGCUCUUACGGGUGGCGAGUGGCGGACGGGUGAGGAAUACAUCGGAAUCUACUUUUUCGUGGGGGAUAACGUAGGGAAACUUACGCUAAUACCGCAUACGACCUACGGGUGAAAGCAGGGGAUCUUCGGACCUUGCGCGAGUGAAUGAGCCGAUGUCGGAUUAGCUAGUUGGCGGGGUAAAGGCCCACCAAGGCGACGAUCCGUAGCUGGUCUGAGAGGAUGCUCAGCCACACUGGAACUGAGACACGGUCCAGACUCCUACGGGAGGCAGCAGUGGGGAAUAUUGGACAAUGGGCGCAAGCCUGAUCCAGCCAUACCGCGUGGGUGAAGAAGGCCUUCGGGUUGUAAAGCCCUUUUGUUGGGAAAGAAAAGCAGCAGGUUAAUACCCCGCUGUUCUGACGGUACCCAAAGAAUAAGCACCGGCUAACUUCGUG